rnacentral:lncRNA from 1 species
UCCCCUCCCUCUGCAAAAAAAAAAAAAAAAAAAAAAACUUCAUUCUAGGAUUCUUAUACAUACUCUCUUGGAUCUGUCACUCUCCUGCAACUUUGUCCCAUACAUUAAUUUCUCAUGAUUUUCUUUUGUUGAUCACUACUAGAUAUCUUAGUAAAAGGUACGUAUGUCUAUGUAUAUGUGUCUGUGUGUGGUUUUAGUCUAUUGUUUAAACUAUUACUUUCCACUAAUGGACACACACUUAAAAUGCAGUUAGUAUAAUUCAUGAUAUAACUUAACGCUAACUUUCCCUUCAAUCUUGUGUGUUCACCAUUCCAAAUUUCUUUCUAAAAAAAAUUUAUAUUUGGGGUUCUGGAAAUAUA